GACAGAGGGUGCAAACGUUGUUCGGAUUUACUGGGCGUAAAGGGCGCGUAGGCGGUCAGCACAAGUCAGUUGUGAAAUCUCCGGGCUUAACUCGGAAAGGUCAACUGAUACUGUGCGACUAGAGUGCAGAAGGGGCAACUGGAAUUCCAGGUGUAGCGGUGAAAUGCGUAGAUAUCUGGAGGAACACCGGUGGCGAAGGCGGCGAUUCUGGACCAUA
rnacentral:rRNA from 1 species